AGAGUUUGAUCAUGGCUCAGAAUCAACGCUGGCGGCGCGCUUAACACAUGCAAGUCGCACGAGAAAGUGGAGCAAUCCAUGAGUAAAGUGGCGUACGGGUGAGUAACACGUGGAUUAUCUACCUCAUAGUGGGGAAUAACCCUGGGAAACCGGGGCUAAUACCGCAUAAGCUCGUGAGAGGAAAGCAGCAAUGCGCUGUGAGAGGGGUCCGCGGCUGAUUAGCUUGUUGGCGGGGUAAUGGCCCACCAAGGCGAAGAUCGGUAGCCGACCUGAGAGGGCACACGGCCACACUGGCACUGAAACACGGGCCAGACUCCUACGGGAGGCAGCAGUGGGGAAUCUUGCACAAUGGAGGAAACUCUGAUGCAGCGACGCCGCGUGAGCGAUGAAGCCCUUCGGGGUGUAAAGCUCUUUCGACGGGAACGAUAAUGACGGUACCCGAAGAAGAAGCUGCGGCUAACUACGUGCCAGCAGCCGCGGUAAUACGUAGGCAGCAAGCGUUGUUCGGAAUUACUGGGCGUAAAGAGUGCGUAGGCGGUGCUCUAAGUCUGUUGUGAAAUCUCCCGGCUCAACUGGGAGGGUGCGGCGGAAACUGGAGUGCUCGAGUAUGGGAGAGGUAAGCGGAAUUCCUGGUGUAGCGGUGAAAUGCGUAGAUAUCAGGAGGAACACCUGUGGUGUAGGCAGCUUACUGGACCAUGACUGACGCUGAGGCACGAAAGCGUGGGUAGCAAACAGGAUUAGAUACCCUGGUAGUCCACGCCCUAAACGAUGCAUACUUGGUGUGAGCCAUUCAUUUGGUUCGUGCCGGAGCUAACGCGUUAAGUAUGCCGCCUGGGGAGUACGGUCGCA
rnacentral:rRNA from 1 species